GGCUUUGUGCUAAGGUGCAUCUAGUGCAGAUAGUGAAGUAGACUAGCACCUACUGCCCUAAGUGCUCCUUCUGGCACGAGGGU
ensembl:miRNA mir18a microRNA 18a